UCGGCGAGCGGCGGACGGCUGAGUAACGCGUAGGAAUUUGCCCCAAAGUGAGGAAUAACUGCCCGAAAGGGUAGCUAAUGCCGCAUAUGGUCUUCGGAUUAAAGCCUUCGGGCGCUUGGGAGAAGCCUGCGUUGGAUUAGGUAGUUGGUAGGGUAAUGGCCUACCAAGCCGACGAUCCAUAGCUGGUCUGAGAGGAUGAUCAGCCAGACUGGAACUGAGACACGGUCCAG
rnacentral:rRNA from 1 species